rnacentral:lncRNA from 1 species
GAAAAUUACAACUAAGACCUAUCCUUUGGGAAUGCAAAAUUAUGAAGAAAGAGCAGGUAGCAAUGGAGGGAGAGCAGAAUGAAAUAAAGAACUAUUGUGAGGAAUGCAAGGACACAUGGUGAUGUGAUGAAAAGAAGACCAGCUGUGGUCACACAACAUCUAAAAGUUAUUGAUGUUGCCAAGAAAAGAGCAAAGCCAGUUGGAACAGAUGCAAGAACCAAAGAUGUCAUCUUUCAUCAUAGAUGCAUAAAGCAAACUCUCACACUUUCAUCAAAGAUGUGUAAUUACCAGGUUCUCACAUCCAUGAAGCUUUGCCCGAACACUAUUUGUUCAGUAACGGAGUAAGAGCCUACUGUGUAACAGACUCUGUGUUGUGGACCAAGAUAAAAUGGUCAAUGAAGUGCAUGAAUAAAACAUCAGCAGAUUGACCAACAGUUACAGUUCUCCUAUGAUGAUUUCUUU